rnacentral:rRNA from 1 species
UACGUAGGGUGCGAGCGUUAAUCGGAAUUACUGGGCGUAAAGCGUGCGCAGGCGGUUCGUGAUGUCUAAUGUGAAAGCCCCGGGCUUAACCUGGGAAUUGCAUUGGAAACUAGCGGGCUGGAGUGUGGCAGAGGGGGGUGGAAUUCCACGUGUAGCAGUGAAAUGCGUAGAGAUGUGGAGGAACACCGAUGGCGAAGGCAGCCCCCUGGGCUGACACUGACGCUCAUGCACGAAAGCGUGGGGAGCAAACAGG